rnacentral:rRNA from 1 species
GAUGAACGCUGGCGGCGUGCCUAAUACAUGCAAGUCGAGCGAACGGACGAGAAGCUUGCUUCUCUGAUGUUAGCGGCGGACGGGUGAGUAACACGUGGAUAACUUACCUAUAAGACUGGGAUAACUUCGGGAAACCGGAGCUAAUACCGGAUAAUAUUUUGAACCGCAUGGUUCAAAAGUGAAAGACGGUCUUGCUGUCACUUAUAGAUGGAUCCGCGCUGCAUUAGCUAGUUGGUAAGGUAACGGCUUACCAAGGCAACGAUGCAUAGCCGGCCUGAGAGGGUGAUCGGCCACACUGGAACUGAGACACGGUCCAGACUCCUACGGGAGGCAGCAGUAGGGAAUCUUCCGCAAUGGGCGAAAGCCUGACGGAGCAACGCCGCGUGAGUGAUGAAGGUCUUCGGAUCGUAAAACUCUGUUAUUAGGGAAGAACAUAUGUGUAAGUAACUGUGCACAUCUUGACGGUACCUAAUCAGAAAGCCACGGCUAACUACGUG